rnacentral:rRNA from 1 species
UACGGAGGGUGCAAGCGUUAUCCGGAUUUACUGGGUUUAAAGGGUGUGUAGGCGGACUUUUAAGUCAGGGGUGAAAUCCCGGGGCUCAACCCCGGAACUGCCUUUGAUACUAUUGGUCUUGAAUGUUGUUGAGGUGGGCGGAACGGGUCAUGUAGCGGUGAAAUGCAUAGAUAUGACCCGGAACACCGAUUGCGAAGGCAGCCCGCUAAGCAACUAUUGACGCUGAGGCACGAAAGCGUGGGGAUCAAACAGG